AGGGAGAUUAGCAAUGUUGCUAAUUCUCAGCAACGGCGCCAAAAUUUGAUAUGAUAUAAACUAGCACGCAAAUUAAACCCUUUUUUUGAUAAUUGUAGUAUGGACAAGUAGGGAUCAUUCUAGGCCGAGGAUUAGGAGGGACUGCUAAUCUACUCAAAUUAGACUCAAUUAUACUUAACUAGACUUAAAAACACUAAAAAUUAGACUCAAUUAUACUUAACUAGACUUAAAAACACUAAACUAGACUCUUAUGACUCAAAACUGACUCAAACUACUCAAAACUACACAAAACAAAUAAAUUGACUCAAAACUAACACUAAGGAUGACUUUGGACGAAAUUUGAACUAAAAAGACUCAAAACAAUAAAAAGACACCAGUUAGAUAGAUUCUAACCUAAAGACACGAAAUAAAAAGGGGGGUUUUGUUUUUGACGAAUUUAAAACUUAAACUAAGUUACUAAACUAUUUGCUACGAAUUUAGGGUGCUUUAAGGGUGAAUGGCUAGCUAGAGAUUCCUUCUCCACACAUGACACAUAUACAUAUGAAUCGAUUUCCAGUUAUUCUUCCUAUAAACCAUGAAUGACAACGCCCCAGAUUAAUCGUGAACAGCACUAAUUAACCCUCAGAUUUUCCUAAGUUCAUUGAAUUGGACUCAGCGUCGCAACCAAAUUAUUCUUAUCAAGUUCCCUACAUGAACAAUUUGAUAGAGAUACAUAUCAAAGAUCAUUAAGUUCUAUGAAAAUCAUAAACAUUGACAAGACAUUCGUAACUAUGAACAGCAUGAUACUCCUACCAGGAAUUCACUUAACACGAUCAUGACCAGUAACCUCCACUACUUGUAAAUAUAAGUUCAUAUCUAUUAGGUGAAACUCCCUUAUAUUUUAGCAUCAAAUUCAUGCAAGCAAACUAAGUAGGCCUCUUUAAUCAACAUACAAGAAUAAGUUAUGAAUCAAACAGUUAAGCAAAUUGCAUUCAAGAUUCAUGAAAUCAUAAUUGAAAGUAAUCAAUUCAUAUGCAAUAUAUGUUCAUGGCUUUGAAUUCUCCUCUAGCCAAAACGGGUUUAGUUCCUCAUGUUCGCACUUAAACAAAGAUAACUUAAAUUAAACAUUGAAAAUAAAAGAUAGAAAACACCUAAGAACACUCCAGCAAUCCAAGGUUGAAUGGCAGGGCACGGCAAAUGGUCUCCUCUCCUUUCUCCUUGCAAAGCUACGGCACAAAAGGGAUUUCUAAGUAUGAUGGAUGUAUGGUGUGAAUUUGUGGUGAGAGAUGGUGUAUUAUGAGUGUUGCGGCACUUUGUAUUUAUAGUGAGGGGAGGAUGCACGGCAUAGGCUGAAAAGGAGGGGAAUUAGGACUCCAAAUCAACAAGGAAUAAGGAUACUUCUAAUCAGAUCCCAGGGAGGAAAAAGAGUAGUCCCUGCAGCAGGAAAUAGAGCUUCUAGAAGGGCUAGGUGCGGUACACUUUUAGGGAUAAUGUCUUGGCUUCUAGAAACAUGAUUUGUAGGUGAUUUAAUGUGAAAUUAAUCCCCCUUUGCAGCUGGAAUUAAGGUAGGAUAAGAUUAGGAUAGGAUAAGAUAAGAUAAGGUUAGUUUGGAUAAGAUAAGGUUGGAUAAUGUUUUGGAUAAUGUUUUUUCUUUUUGGCUGAUUCCUUAUAUUCUUUGUCUUGAAUUCAUUCUUCCAGAUUUAUAGCACAUUCCUAGCCUCUUUGAACUUCAAAAACGUCCAUCCACCUUGCUCCAUUCAUAUGCUAUCCCUUCUUGGCCCAAAACUGGUUCAAAAUGCUCCAAAUUGCACAUUCUUGUCAACUUUGUCAUUUGGACCUACAAACACACGAAAAUAGCUUAAAUCACUAUAAUAAACAGAAACUAGCUAUGAAAAUGCAAGAAAACAAGCUAACUAAGUCACAUAAAUAUGCUCCUAUCAACAACUUUCAUGUUAUCCUAUGUGUUCUCAUUAUUAUACGACAAACUCCUUGGUCAUUGCCUAUGCAAAAGCUAUAUGGCCAGUUGAUGAUCAAACCGAUUGGAUAGUAACUGAUGAUGUGAGUGAAAGAAUUGUCCUACCACCAAUUACAUGAAGAAGAUAUGAUAGGCGCAAAGAAAAGAGGAUCCCAUCACGUGGAGAAGAAAAUCAACUCGAAAGUGUUCAAAAUGUGGUCAAAUGGCCAUUAUAAACAAACUUGUAGGAAUCCGGUUCAACUUCAUCUUGCGUUUUAGAACCCUUUUAAAUUGGAGUUUUAUGAAUAAAUAUUUUCUUUUGAUCAUUUUAUUGUUUAUUUUGGUUGUACGUACAAUUCUUUAAAUUUCCGACAAUUAAAAAUAAUUACUUUUAUUUCUUUACUCUAAUAGUUCACUUUUAUAACAUACUAAAGUGUUUUUUGUGAACCAUGUGAGAAAGAAAGGUUUCCUUGAUUAUCUAUUAAAAUAAAAUUGAGAGAAAUUUUUUGCUCUUCGUUUGGAAAUGAAAAGAAAAAAAAAGGAGAAAGUUUUAGUUAGAGAUUAUAGCAUAAGAAGUGUUAAGUCUAACAAUUAGUUAUUCAUAUAAAUUAAGGGUAGUUAUGUCUAUUUAAGUGAGAUUUUGAAUAUAUAUGAAAGUUUUUAUAAAAACUAACAUUUUUGAAAUUAAGGGUUAAUUUUUUGUUAUAUUUGAUAAAUUCCCUUCAUUUAGUGUGUUUUUUUUUUUUUUAUAGUUUAUUUGGUGCGUUUAUGUUGUGUGAAUAAAGAUGCUCUUAGUUUAAACAAAGUACCAAAUUAAAUACAAAUACUCUUACUUUAAAUAAAGCACUAAAUUAAAUAAAUACGAAAUUACAUAAAGUACCAAAUUAAACAAAUACGAAUUUACAACCCAAAGUGAAUGGUUGAGUAUUUAUAGAGAAUUUUUUUUAAAAAAAAUUUUAAAAAUUUUUUCUUGGAUUUUUAUUAAUUUUUAAAAGAUGAAAAACGUGGACCAUUGAUUUGGAGAUCAACGGUCCAGAUUGUGCCACGCCGUCUAGUCGUGGGGGUAGUUUUGAUUUUUUUUUACUGUUGGAAAUCCAAUGAUCCAUAAAAUAAAAUAAAAAGAACCGUUGAAAUCCAACAACGUAUAGGAAGCCAUGUUGGUCCCAGCAACGACUAUUAACAAGGGUUCUAUGCAAGCCCCAUCACCUGUAAGGUUGUUAGUCACGCACACCCCACGCG
rnacentral:lncRNA from 1 species